AGCGUAAUAGUCGAAUACAAGCGCGAAAGGCUGCUGUAUUUAUUAGCGAUUCCCAGCAGCCUUUCGCGCUUGUAUUCGACUUUUCCGCUU